rnacentral:rRNA from 1 species
UAGGCUGCAACUCGCCUACACGAAGCUGGAAUCGCUAGUAAUCGCGGAUCAGCACGCCGCGGUGAAUACGUUCCCGGGCCUUGUACACACCGCCGUCACACCAUGGGAGCCGGUAAUACCCGAAGUCAGUAGUCCAACCUCGUGAGGACGCUGCCGAAGGUAGGAUUGGCGACUGGGGUGAAGUCGUAACAAGGUAGC